CGGGGUGGAGUAACGCGUGGGUAACCGUGCCUUGUACAGGGGGAUAACAGUUGGAAACGGCUGCUAAUACCGCAUAAGCGCACGGCAUCGCAUGAUGCAGUGUGAAAAACUCCGGUGGUAUAAGAUGGACCCGCGUUGGAUUAGCUAGUUGGUGAGGUAACGGCCCACCAAGGCGACGAUCCAUAGCCGACCUGAGAGGGUGACCGGCCACAUUGGGACUGAGACACGGCCCAA
rnacentral:rRNA from 1 species